rnacentral:rRNA from 1 species
GUGAGGAAUAUUGGUCAAUGGGCGAGAGCCUGAACCAGCCAAGUCGCGUGAAGGAAGAAGGAUCUAUGGUUCGUAAACUUCUUUUGCAGGGGAAUAAAGUGCGGGACGUGUCCUGUUUUGUAUGUACCCUGAGAAUAAGGAUCGGCUAACUCCGUGCCAGCAGCCGCGGUAAUACGGAGGAUCCGAGCGUUAUCCGGAUUUAUUGGGUUUAAAGGGUGCGUAGGUGGAUUGAUAAGUCAGCGGUGAAAGUUUGCAGCUUAACUGUAAAAUUGCCGUUGAAACUGUCGGUCUUGAGUGCAAAUGAGGUAGGCGGAAUGUGUUGUGUAGCGGUGAAAUGCUUAGAUAUCACGCAGAACUCCGAUUGCGAAGGCAGCUUACUAAGCUACAACUGACACUGAAGCACGAAAGCGUGGGGAUCAAACAGGAUUAGAAACCCGAGUAGUCC